rnacentral:rRNA from 1 species
GAUGAACGCUGGCGGCGUGCCUAAUACAUGCAAGUCGAGCGAACAGAUGAGGAGCUUGCUCCUCUGACAUUAGCGGCGGACGGGUGAGUAACACGUGGAUAACCUACCUAUAAGACUGGGAUAACUUCGGGAAACCGGAGCUAAUACCGGAUAAUAUAUUGAACCGCAUGGUUCAAUAGUGAAAGACGGUUUUGCUGUCACUUAUAGAUGGAUCCGCGCCGCAUUAGCUAGUUGGUAAGGUAACGGCUUACCAAGGCAACGAUGCGUAGCCGACCUGAGAGGGUGAUCGGCCACACUGGAACUGAGACACGGUCCAGACUCCUACGGGAGGCAGCAGUAGGGAAUCUUCCGCAAUGGGCGAAAGCCUGACGGAGCAACGCCGCGUGAGUGAUGAAGGUCUUCGGAUCGUAAAACUCUGUUAUUAGGGAAGAACAAAUGUGUAAGUAACUAUGCACGUCUUGACGGUACCUAAUCAGAAAGCCACGGCUAACUACGUG